rfam:Candidate division WOR-1 bacterium RIFOXYC12_FTLL_54_18 RifOxyC12_full_WOR_1_54_18_curated_complete, whole genome shotgun sequence.
AUUUAAGUUACUGCGGCACAUAGUGGAUACCUUGGCACUACAAGUCGAUGAAGGACGUGAUUGGCUGCGAUAAGCCUCGGGGAGCUGUCAAAAUAGCUUUGAUCCGGGGAUCUCCGAAUGGGGAAACCUGGCCGGGUAAAGCCCGGUCGUGCCUAACGACAACCCGCUGAACUGAAACAUCUAAGUAAGCGGAGGAAGAGAAAGUAAUAACGAUUUCGGGAGUAGUGGCGAGCGAAACCGAAACAGCCCAAACCUUGUUGAUUUAUCUUCAAGGGGUAGCGGGACCGCGACGUGAGACCGGAUAGUUUAGUUGAAGUACUCUGGAAAGAGUCGCCAUAGAAGGUGAUAGCCCUGUAAGCGAAAGACUAAAUGGCUCUAGCGGUAUCCCAAGUACUGCGGGACACGAGGAAUCCUGUAGGAAUCCGGGAGGACCAUCUCCUAAGGCUAAAUACUCUGUAGUGACCGAUAGUGAACAAGUACCGUGAGGGAAAGGUGAAAAGAACCCAGGAAUGGGAGUGAAAUAGAACGUGAAACUGUGUGCCUACAAGCAGUCGGAGCCUCGAGCAAUCGGGGUGACGGCAUGCCUAUUGAAGAAUGAGCCGGCGACUUACAGUUACAUGCAAGCUUAGGGUGUUGAGCCCGAGGCGUAGCGAAAGCGAGUCUUAAUAGGGCGAUUUAGUAUGUAGUUGUAGACCCGAAACCGAUAGCGACCUAUCCUUGGGCAGAGUGAACUUCAAGUAAAAUUGAAGGGAGGCUCGAACCUAUUGAUGUUGAAAAAUCUCAGGAUGACCUGAGGAUAGCAGUGAAAAGCUAAACGAGCUCGGAGAUAGCUGGUUCUCCUCGAAAUGGUUUUAGGGCCAGCCUCAAGCUUAUCUACGUGGGGGUAGAGUACAGUUCGGACUAGGGGGCCGAGAGGCCUUCCAAAUCCUUGCUAACUCCGAAUACCAUGUAGUAAUUGCUUGGGAGUGAGACUACGAGGGAUAAGCCUCGUGGUCAAAAGGGAAACAGCCCAUGAUCGUCAGCUAAGGUUCCUAAAUGUAUGCUAAGUGGGAAAGGAAGUAAAGUCGGCUAGACAGCCAGGAGGUUGGCUUAGAAGCAGCCAUCCUUUAAAGAGUGCGUAACAGCUCACUGGUCGAUCGAUUUUGCGCCGAAAACACACGGAGCUCAAGCAUACUACCGAAGCUACGGGUGGUCUGGAUGAAUAAUCCGGAUCGCGGUAGAGGAGCGUUCCGUUGUAGGUUGAAGUUGUGUCGCGAGGCACAAUGCACGAAACGGAAGUGAGAAUGUCGGCAUAAGUAACGAAAAUACGGGUGGAAAUCCCGUACGCCGAAAGUCUGAGGUUUCCUGGGGAAGGCUCGUCCUCCCAGGGUAAGUCGAUAUCUAAGCCAAGCCCUAGCGCGGCUAAGCUAGGGGUAGGUGAUGGCUAAACGGUUAAUAUUCCGUUACCGCCUAUUUUGUUAACCAGAAGGACGCAGGGGGAUAACUCAUUACACUUAUUGGAUUGUGAGCCUGAUUUAUUUCGGGCGCGAUGGGUGACUCCGCACUGACGAGAAAAGCUCUGGGUAUUGUGAUAGGUGAUCGUACCAUAAACCGACACAGGUGGACAGGCUGAACAAGCCAAGGCGCGCGAGAUAACUCUCUCUAAGGAACUAGGCAAAAUGAUCCCGUAACUUCGGGAAAAGGGAUGAUCCGAUUUAUUUCGGAUCCUCAGAUAUCAGACUUCCGCGACUGUUUAACAAAAACACAGGUCUCUGCUAACCCGUAAGGGGAUGUAUAGGGGCUGAUGCCUGCCCAGUGCUGGAAGGUUAAGAGGAUGAUUGAGAUUAUAUCAAGGUCAGAAUCGAAGCCCCAGUGAACGGCGGCCGUAACUAUAACGGUCCUAAGGUAGCGAAAUUCCUUGUCGGGUAAGUUCCGACCCGCACGAAAGGCAUAACGAAGGAAGUGCUGUCUCGGAGAGAGACUCGGUGAAAUUGGGAUGACCGUGAAGACACGGUUUAACUGCACCAGGACAGAAAGACCCCGUGGAGCUUUACUAUACCCUAACUUUGAGAUUUGACGCCGCUUGCGUAGCAUAGGUGGGAGGCUGUGAUCCCCUGUUUUUGGAUGGGGGGGAGCCAACAGUGAAAUACCACCCUGGUUGUGUUAGAUUUCUAACCCUGGCCUUGAUAAGCUGGGAGACAGAGUUAGGCGGGUAGUUUGACUGGGGCGGUCGCCUCACAAAGGAUAACUGAGGCGUUCAAAGGUACCCUCAGCACGGUUGGAAAUCGUGCGUCGAGUGUAAAGGCAUAAGGGUGCUUGACUGCGAGACGUACAUGUCGAGCAGGGACGAAAGUCGGACUUAGUGAUCCGGUGGUUCUGAAUGGAAGGGCCAUCGCUCAACGGAUAAAAGUUACCCCGGGGAUAACAGGCUGAUCUCCUCCAAGAGUUCACAUCGACGAGGAGGUUUGGCACCUCGAUGUCGGCUCAUCGCAUCCUGGAGCUGGAGCAGGUUCCAAGGGUUGGGCUGUUCGCCCAUUAAAGCGGUACGUGAGCUGGGUUCAGAACGUCGUGAGACAGUUUGGUCCAUAUCCGGUGCAGUCGCAAGGAAAAUUGAGAGGAGUCCUUCCUAGUACGAGAGGACCGGAAGGAACAGACCGCUGGUGUACCAGUUGUGGGGCCUACCUGCAAACGCUGGGUAGCCAUGUCUGGAAGGGAUAAAUGCUGAAAGCAUCUAAGCAUCAAGCCCACCUCAAGAUUAGUUUUCCCAUCUGGAUCCCGCAAGGGUGAAGGAGUAAGACCCCCUGAAGAACACAGGGUUGAUAGGCUGGAGGUGUAAAGGCGGCAACGUCUGAGCUGACCAGUACUAAUCGGUCGAGGACUUAUUUAU